UACAGAGGUCUCGAGCGUUAGGCGGAAUCACUGGGCUUAAAGCGUGUGUAGGCGGAUCGUUAAGUGCCUUGUGAAAUCCCAUGGCUUAACCGUGGAACUGCUUGGCAUACUGGCGAUCUUGAGCAACCUAGGGGCGAGCGGAACAAAUGGUGGAGCGGUGAAAUGCGUAGAUAUCAUUUGGAACGCCAAUGGUGAAAACAGCUCGCUGGGGGUUUGCUGACGCUGAGACACGAAAGCCAGGGGAGCAAACGGG
rnacentral:rRNA from 1 species